UGCAAGUCGAACGGUAAGGCCCCUUCGGGGGUACACGAGUGGCGAACGGGUGAGUAACACGUGGGUAAUCUGCCCUGCACUUCGGGAUAAGCCUGGGAAACUGGGUCUAAUACCGGAUAUGAGCUCCUGCCGCAUGGUGGGGGUUGGAAAGUUUUUCGGUGCAGGAUGUGCCCGCGGCCUAUCAGCUUGUUGGUGGGGUAAUGGCCUACCAAGGCGACGACGGGUAGCCGGCCUGAGAGGGUGAUCGGCCACACUGGGACUGAGACACGGCCCAGACUCCUACGGGAGGCAGCAGUGGGGAAUAUUGCACAAUGGGCGGAAGCCUGAUGCAGCGACGCCGCGUGGGGGAUGACGGUCUUCGGAUUGUAAACUCCUUUCAGUAGGGACGAAGCGAGAGUGACGGUACCUGCAGAAGAAGCACCGGCCAACUACGUGCCAGCAGCCGCGGUAAUACGUAGGGUGCAAGCGUUGUCCGGAAUUACUGGGCGUAAAGAGCUCGUAGGCGGUUUGUCACGUCGUCUGUGAAAUCCUCCAGCUCAACUGGGGGCGUGCAGGCGAUACGGGCAGACUUGAGUACUACAGGGGAGACUGGAAUUCCUGGUGUAGCGGUGAAAUGCGCAGAUAUCAGGAGGAACACCGGUGGCGAAGGCGGGUCUCUGGGUAGUAACUGACGCUGAGGAGCGAAAGCAUGGGGAGCAAACAGGAUUAGAUACCCUGGUAGUCCAUGCCGUAAACGGUGGGCGCUAGGUGUGGGGUCCUUCCACGGAUUCCGUGCCGUAGCU
rnacentral:rRNA from 1 species